GAUGAAGAACGCAGCGAAAUGCGAUACGUAAUGUGAAUUGCAGAAUUCAGUGAAUCAUCGAAUCUUUGAACGCACAUUGCACUCUCUGGUAUUCCGGAGAGUAUGCUUGUUUGAGUAUCAGUAAACACCUCAAAUCUCUUGUUUCUUGUGAAUAAGAGAAUUGGACUUGAGCAAUCCCAACUCUUGCAAAAGAGGCGGGUUGCUUGAAAUGCAGGUGCAGCUGGACAUUCUUCUGAGCUAAAAGCAUAUUUAUUUAGUCCCGUAAAACGGAUUAUUACUUUUGCUGCAGCUAACAUAAAGGUUGAAUGGCCAAUAUGGCUGACUGAUGCAGGAUUAACAGAGAAUUUAUUCUUUGUAAACUCGAUCUCAAAUCAAGUAAGACUACCCGCUGAACUUAAGCAUAUCAAUAAGGGAGGA
rnacentral:misc_RNA from 1 species